UGCGUAGGCGGGCAGGUAAGUCAGUGGUGAAAUCCCCGAGCUUAACUUGGGAACUGCCGUUGAUACUAUCUGUCUUGAAUACUAUGGAGGUAAGCGGAAUAUGUCAUGUAGCGGUGAAAUGCUUAGAUAUGACAUAGAACACCAAUUGCGAAGGCAGCUUGCUACACAGUUAUUGAGCUGAGGCACGAAAGCGUGGGGAUCAACA
rnacentral:rRNA from 1 species